AGUUGGAGUUGAGAUUAAGUAAGGAAAAUCAUGGUUCAGCUGCCAAGAUCUGGGUUCCGCAACAGGAAUGGAAUCAUCAUCAGUUGUUUUGUUGGCCUAGUUGGAGUUGCUCUGUAUCCUAUAAUAAUUCAACCAUAUUUUAACCCAAAGCCCUGGCAAAACACACAGAAAGAAGCAAGAAAAGAUAUAAAUCAAGAAGAUAUACAACCAGGAGGCAUGCGAGUGUGGAGUGAUCCUUUUGCACCAAGGGCUGACAUACCAAAGAAAUGAAACCUUUUAACAGAACCAUAUGGAAUCUAUAGACAGAAGGAUAUAGAAUGGCAAAUGGUAAUGGUUUGUGCUUUGCUCCAGUUUGUUAAGUCUGUUGCCACCAAAAAUAUUUGGGAUUUAGAACAUGGUGACAGCUUAAAGGAACAGCUUUGUGCAAAGCAUGUUUUUUUAAAGCAAAUGGUUGAGACUUGGAGAUUAGAACAUUUUAUAUAUUUUAAUAAAGUAAUCCUAAAAGAAUAUUUUUUUUGGCAUUUAAUGGUAAUGGGUGUUUAUUUGUAUAACGCAUAUUAUGGACAACAGUCUCUCUGUGCUUGAAAUGCAAAGUCUUGAAAGAACAAAAAUUUAAAACUGAGAAAUAACCGAAGGGACAAAAAGAAGACUGGAAGAACCAAUGCCACUGCUCCAUUCUCCAGCAUCUAAAAUUGUAAAGAUGACAUUUCAUAUGUAAAGCAUGUAGCGUCUUGUUCGAUUCACUACUUUACGCUCCCAUGGCAAUAAUAAAAGCUACUUUUUUUUUUAUUAAGUUGUAGCAUACCUUGAUCUCUUGUUUGCAGUGUUGUACAUGAAUCUCACUUGAACCUUUCAGAUCUCGAUAAGGCCAUAGACUUUUAAAUGCCCUCCAUUCUAUUCUUUUCUUUAAAAUUGUUAGCUGAAUUUGUUGGACAUUGCUCUGUCAUCAUUUAGCAGACCCUUAAAUGAAUCGAUAGUAUCAGCUUGCACUGUAAUAUGAUUUAAUCUAUUCCAGGUAUUAAUGAUUCUAUUAGAAAAAGAGUGUUUUCUAAUAUUCUGUUGAGCUCUGUAUGAACAAUGUUGAGCAUUUCCAUAUUUUUCAUAUGGGUAGAUGAUGUCAUAAUCACGUCCAUAAUAGUAUAGGCAAAUUACAGGUAUGUGGGCAGAGCCAAAUUAGCCCUGCCCAUGGAUGUUGUUGCUAAGGUUUAACAUGUGCGUUUGUGGAAAAACACAUGCUUAUGGAAAAACAUGCAACUUCAGACAAAGAAGUCAAUUUAAAUUUUUAUUUUCCAUUUUUCUUAUACUGUAGCUAAUUACAGAUGGUGUAGCUUUAAACAUAGUGUCAACCAAUUGAAUGAGUGAAAAAUACAGUAACACAGGUAAAAUAUUAUUAGGACAAAACUACUUGAUACUGUUUAGCUUGGAUCUUGUAAUAUGAUUUAUCAAGUAUACAUGUCUCAAUGGCGAAUGAGGUAGAUGAGAUGAAUGAUAUCAAUAGUCAUAUUAGCCCCUUAUCAUAUCUUGUUAAACGUGUCCCUCCUUAGGUUCCAUAUCAUUGUCUCUGCAAUCUGCUUACCAUCCCAAAUACUAAAAACAAAAAUUAUUUGCCACAUGCCUUUCAUUCUAUGCUCUUAUUUAAAGUAAGUUUUAAAACAUUUUUUAAUUAACAAACUCUAAGGGUAAAGUGUGCCUUUGAAUUGGCACCUUGUAAAUAUUUGUUUAUUAUUAUAUUAUAUUAAUUCAAUUCAAUUUCCAGUACAUUUCUUGUUUCCCCAUGAUGUCUUACUGUUCAUAUCUAAUAAAUAGUUUGAUUUUUUCAUGGGAUCACCAAA
rnacentral:misc_RNA from 1 species